rnacentral:rRNA from 1 species
AACGAACGCUGGCGGCAGGCUUAACACAUGCAAGUCGAACGCGUGUAGCAAUACACGAGUGGCGCACGGGUGAGUAACGCGUGGAUAUCUGCCUUUUGGUUCGGAAUAACUCCGGGAAACUGGAGCUAAUACCGGAUGGUUCCUACGGGAUAAAGAUUUAUCGCCAAAAGAUGAGUCCGCGUACGAUUAGCUAGUUGGUGAGGUAAUGGCUCACCAAGGCGACGAUCGUUAGCUGGUCUGAGAGGACGAUCAGCCACACUGGGACUGAGACACGGCCCAGACUCCUACGGGAGGCAGCAGUGGGGAAUAUUGGGACAAUGGGGGCAACCCUGAUCCAGCCAUGCCGCGUGAGUGAUGAAGGCC